CCUACGGGUGGCAGCAGUGAGGAAUAUUGGUCAAUGGCCGGAAGGCUGAACCAGCCAAGCCGCGUGAAGGACGAAGGUGCCAAGCAUUGUAAACUUCUUUUGUAUGGGGACAAAAUCAGGCACGAGAGCCUGACCGAGGGUACUUUAAGAAAAAGCAUCGGCUAACUCCGUGCCAGCAGCCGCGGUAAUACGGAGGAUCCGAGCGUUAUCCGGUUUUAUUGGGUUUAAAGGGUGCGUAGGGGGAGUGUAAAGUCAGAGGGAAAAGCCGGGGGCUCAACCCCGGAGAGCCGUUGAAACUGGCUGUCUUGAGAUGUGGAGAGGUAUGCGGAAUGCGCAGUGUAGCGGUGAAAUGCUUAGAUAUUGCGCAGAACUCCGAUUGCGAAGGCAGCAUACCGGCGGGGAUCUGACGCUGAGGCACGAAAGCGUGGGUAUCGAACAGGAUUAGAUACCCCAGUAGUC
rnacentral:rRNA from 1 species